AGUGGCGCAUUGGACAGCCGUGGUGUGGGCAGUGACGUCAGGAGUGGCGGAUCGUACAGCCGAGGUGCAGGGACGGCCGCCAACCUCUGCUCGUGUGAAGAGGGAAUUUCAGAGUCGGCAUUUCGGAUGGAGCGAAUGCCCUGUGAGAAAAAAACCUGGACGGGCAUGGACCUCAGGGGUGUCUGAGUUGAAGAUCGUGGCGCGCGCCGUCGUCUGUGGGCGUUUUCAUCAACAGGUACGAUGCCACGGAGCCUUUUGUCUCUCGGCUUGUCCGUCCGGACACCAUCAGGUACGAUGUCACGGAGCCUUUUGUCUCUCGGGUUGUCCGUCCGGACUCCAUCAGGUACGAUGCCACGGGGCCUUUUGUCUCUCAGCUUGUCUGUCCGGACACCAUCAGGUACGAUGUCACGGAGCCUGUUGUCUCUCGGGUUGUUCGUCCGGACACCAUCAGGUACGAUGUCACGGAGCCUUUUGUCUCUCGGGUUGUCCGUCCGGACUCCAUCAGGUACGAUGCCACGGGGCCUUUUGUCUCUCAGCUUGUCUGUCCGGACACCAUCAGGUACGAUGUCACGGAGCCUUUUGUCUCUCGGGUUGUCCGUCCGGACUCCAUCAGGUACGAUGCCACGGGGCCUUUUGUCUCUCAGCUUGUCUGUCCGGACACCAUCAGGUACGAUGUCACGGAGCCUGUUGUCUCUCGGGUUGUUCGUCCGGACACCAUCAGGUACGAUGUCACGGAGCCUUUUGUCUCUCGGGUUGUCCGUCCGGACACCAUCAGGUACGAUGUCACGGAGCCUUUUGUCUCUCGGGUUGUCCGUCCGGACACCAUGUGGCACGUUUUGGGGUGGUGCAGCGACAGCCGUCGCCGCUAGGAGACAUUGUACAUUCCCACCGCUCUGUGAC